GACGAACGCUGGCGGCGUGCUUAACACAUGCAAGUCGAGCGGUAAGGCCCUUCGGGUACGACGAGCGGCGAACGGGUGAGUAACACGUGGGUGACCUGCCUUUAGUCUCUGGGAGUAAAGCCUGGGAAACGUAGGGUCGUAAUACCGGAUAUGACCUCAUGACGCAUGUUGUGGGGUGGAAAGCCUUGUGCGGCUAGAGAUGGGCCCGGCGGCCUAUCAGCUUGUUGGU
rnacentral:rRNA from 1 species